rnacentral:rRNA from 1 species
UACGAAGGGGCUAGCGUUGCUCGGAAUCACUGGGCGUAAAGGGUGCGUAAGGCGGGUCUUUAAGUCAGGGGUGAAAUGCCCAAGGCUCAACCUUGGAACUGCCUUUGAAUACUGGAGACCUUGAGUCCGGGAGAGGUGAGUGGAAUUGCGAGUGUAGAGGUGAAAUUCGUAGAUAUCGCAAGAACACCAGUGGCGAAGGCGGCGCUCUGGGCCGGAACUGACGCUGAGGAGCGAAAGCGUGGGUAGCAA